GAUGAACGCUAGCUACAGGCUUAACACAUGCAAGUCGCGGGGCAGCAUGGGGGUUGCUUGCAAUCCCCGAUGGCGACCGGCGCACGGGUGAGUAACGCGUAUCCAACCUGCCCUUCACCACGGGAUAACCCGGCGAAAGUCGGACUAAUACCGUAUGUUGUCCAUUGACGGCAUCCGAUUUGGACGAAAGGUUUGGCGGUGAAGGAUGGGGAUGCGUCCGAUUAGCUGGACGGCGGGGUGACGGCCCACCGUGGCGACGAUCGGUAGGGGUUCUGAGAGGAAGGUCCCCCACACUGGAACUGAGACACGGCCCAGACUCCUACGGGAGGCAGCAGUGAGGAAUAUUGGUCAAUGGGCGUAAGCCUGAACCAGCCAAGUAGCGUGCAGGAUGACGGCCCUAUGGGUUGUAAACUGCUUUUAUGCGGGGAUAAAGUGGCCCACGUGUGGGUUUUUGCAGGUACCGCAUGAAUAAGAACCGGCUAAUUCCGUG
rnacentral:rRNA from 1 species